rnacentral:rRNA from 1 species
AACACAUGCAAGUCGAACGGUAGCACAGAGAGCUUGCUCUCGGGUGACGAGUGGCGGACGGGUGAGUAAUGUCUGGGAAACUGCCUGAUGGAGGGGGAUAACUACUGGAAACGGUAGCUAAUACCGCAUAACGUCGCAAGACCAAAGAGGGGGACCUUCGGGCCUCUUGCCAUCAGAUGUGCCCAGAUGGGAUUAGCUAGUAGGUGGGGUAACGGCUCACCUAGGCGACGAUCCCUAGCUGGUCUGAGAGGAUGACCAGCCACACUGGAACUGAGACACGGUCCAGACUCCUACGGGAGGCAGCAGUGGGGAAUAUUGCACAAUGGGCGCAAGCCUGAUGCAGCCAUGCCGCGUGUAUGAAGAAGGCCUUCGGGUUGUAAAGUACUUUCAGCGGGGAGGAAGGCGAUAAGGUUAAUAACCU